AUCCUUUUGUGGCUCAUAAGCAUGAUGAUUGGGUUUUCAUGCUCGUAUGUGAGAUGUGCCUCCCUCAAACCUCGUUCUGAUGUCAGCAUAUUACCCGCCACACG